UACGUAGGGUGCAAGCGUUAAUCGGAAUUACUGGGCGUAAAGCGUGCGCAGGCGGUUGUGCAAGACAGAUGUGAAAUCCCCGGGCUCAACCUGGGAACUGCAUUUGUGACUGCACAGCUUGAGUGCGGCAGAGGGGGAUGGAAUUCCGCGUGUAGCAGUGAAAUGCGUAGAUAUGCGGAGGAACACCGAUGGCGAAGGCAACCCCCUGGGCCAGCACUGACGCUCAGGCACGAAAGCGUGGGGAGCAAACAGG
rnacentral:rRNA from 1 species